rnacentral:rRNA from 1 species
GACGAACGCUGGCGGCGUGCUUAACACAUGCAAGUCGAGCGAUGAAGCACCUUCGGGUGUGAAUUAGCGGCGAACGGGUGAGGAACACGUGAGAAAUCUGCCUUCAACACUGGGAUAACUCCGGGAAACCGGGGCUAAUACCGGAUAUGAAACCUGCGGGCAUCCGCGGGUUUGGAAAGUUUUUCGGUUGAAGAUGAUCUCGCGGCCUAUCAGCUUGUUGGUGAGGUAAUGGCUCACCAAGGCGACGACGGGUAGCCGGCCUGAGAGGGCGACCGGCCACACUGGGACUGAGACACGGCCCAGACUCCUACGGGAGGCAGCAGUGGGGAAUAUUGCACAAUGGGCGCAAGCCUGAUGCAGCAACGCCGCGUGAGGGACGACGGGCCUUCGGGUUGGUUAAACCGUCCUUUUAGUUAGGGAAGAAGCGAAAGUAGACGGUACCUGC